rnacentral:rRNA from 1 species
UGAACGCUGGCGGCGUGCCUAAUACAUGUAAGUCGAGCGCACAGACGAGGAGCUUGCUCCUCUGACGUUAGCGGCGGACGGGUGAGUAACACGUGGAUAACCUACCUAUAAGACUGGGAUAACUUCGGGAAACCGGAGCUAAUACCGGAUAAUAUAUUGAACCGCAUGGUUCAAUAGUGAAAGACGGUUUUGCUGUCACUUAUAGAUGGAUCCGCGCCGCAUUAGCUAGUUGGUAAGGUAACGGCUUACCAAGGCAACGAUGCGUAGCCGACCUGAGAGGGUGAUCGGCCACACUGGAACUGAGACACGGUCCAGACUCCUACGGGAGGCAGCAGUAGGGAAUCUUCCGCAAUGGGCGAAAGCUUGACGGAGCAACGCCGCGUGAGUGAUGAAGGUCUUCGGAUCGUAAAACUCUGUUAUUAGGGAAGAACAAAUGUGUAAGUAACUAUGCACGUCUUGACGGUACCUAAUCAGAAAGCCACGGCUAACUACGUG